UGGGGAAUAUUGGACAAUGGGCGCAAGCCUGAUCCAGCAAUGCCGCGUGUGUGAAGAAGGCCUUCGGGUUGUAAAGCACUUUUAUCAGGAGCGAAACGCUGUCGGCUAAUACCCGGCGGAACUGACGGUACCUGAGGAAUAAGCACCGGCUAACUUCGUGCCAGCGGCCGCGGUAAUACGAAGGGUGCAAGCGUUAAUCGGAAUUACUGGGCGUAAAGCGUGCGUAGGCGGUUUCUUAAGUCUGCUGUGAAAUCCCCGGGCUCAACCUGGGAAUGGCAGUGGAUACUGGGAGGCUAGAGUGUGUCAGAGGGUGGUGGAAUUCCCGGUGUAGCGGUGAAAUGCGUAGAGAUCGGGAGGAACAUCAGUGGCGAAGGCGGCCACCUGGGACAACACUGACGCUGAGGCACGAAAGCGUGGGGAGCAAACAGGAUUAGAUACCCUGGUAGUCCACGCCCUAAAGCGAUGCGAACUGGAUGUUGGUCUCAACUCGGAGAUCAGUGUCGAAGCUAACGCGUUAAGUUCGCCGCCU
rnacentral:rRNA from 1 species